rnacentral:rRNA from 1 species
AGCUCCAAUAGCGUAUAUUAAAGUUGUUGCAGUUAGAACGCUCGUAGUCGGAUUUCGGGGCGGGCCGACCGGUCUGCCGAUGGGUACGCACUGGUCGGCGCGUCCUUCCUUCCGGAGACCGUGCCUACUCUUAACUGAGCGGGGGCGGGAGACGGAUCGUUUACUUUGAAAAAAUCAGAGUGUUUCAAGCAGGCAGCUCGCUCUUGCAUGGAUUAGCAUGGGAUAAUGAAAUAGGACUUUGGUGCUAUUUUGUUGGUUUCGAACACCGAAGUAAUGAUUAAAAGGGACAGUCAGGGGCACUCGUAUUCCGCCGAGAGAGGUGAAAUUCUCAGACCAGCGGAAGACGAACCACUGCGAAAGCAUUUGCCAGGGAUGUUUUCACUG